GGUUGAUCCUGCCAGUAGUGAUACGCUCGUAUUAAAGAUUAAGCCAUGCAUGUGUCAGUAUAAAACUUUUGUUGAAACUGCGAAUGGCUCAUUAUAACAGUUAUAGUUUAUUUGACGUUCUUUACUACUUGGAUAACCGUAGUAAUUCUAGAGCUAAUACAUGCAUAAAAAUCUAACUUCGGAAGAUUGUAUUUAUUAGGUAUCAAACCAUCCUCAUUUGAGUAUAUGGUGAUUCAUGAUAUUGGAAUGGAUCAUACAGCUUUAAGCUGUUGACAAGUCAUAUAAGUUUCUG
rnacentral:rRNA from 1 species